CACUAGGGGCUGCAGAGGCAGAUAGAUGCAUAGUUUGUAAGGAAAGAAUGAGGUCUAAUGUUGCUGAGAUUAGGAUCCUAAGUGUUUGCGGCUCCUCACCAAGAAACUUGAGCAAAGGCCCAAAAGAAGUCCAUGAGUGUCUCCCAAGAAACUAAUGCACAACAAACAUCUCCAAUUCCAUGAAUCCCCAUGCUACGCUCUUGAGUGAACCAGAAGUAUGAAGUGGAAGAGGAGAGAUGAAAUUCUUCUCUGGAGAUUGAUGAUAUUGCCUCCUUGAAAAAACUAUUAAAAGUAAGUUUGACCUCCAGAUUUUCCAACAUAAGCUAAGCUACUAUAUGUAAUGUCCACAUCCAUAUGCAAUUAUCAGUGUUUUUAGAGCCUCUUGUCUA